ensembl:misc_RNA
CUGACAGCCCCAGAGAUUGAACUACUCUCUGAACAGGUACAGCAUGAGCAAUGGCAGUGCCCACUUCAUUCACACUGCCUUGCCCAUGUGCCUUCAGCCUCACCUGGAGAUGGGGCCAGCUUUAGAAGAAAGAAGGUAGUUCAUUCCACCUUCUCAUCUGAUCCUUGGCCUCC